rnacentral:other from 1 species
CACGCCCUACGCUGAACGUGGGCGGGCUGUUGUUUCGAGCCAACAGUGUUUCGAAGGGAGCUCUGCUCCAAUACAGGAUAUGCGGCGGGCCGCAGAUGCCUGUGGGCGGGCACCCACCUGCUUCUGCAGGUUCGAAACAAACCCGUUCACGGCAGUGUUAGGGUAUUU